rnacentral:rRNA from 1 species
GCAAGUCGAACGAUGAACCACUUCGGUGGGGAUUAGUGGCGAACGGGUGAGUAACACGUGGGCAAUCUGCCCUGCACUCUGGGACAAGCCCUGGAAACGGGGUCUAAUACCGGAUACUGAUCCUCGCAGGCAUCUGCGAGGUUCGAAAGCUCCGGCGGUGCAGGAUGAGCCCGCGGCCUAUCAGCUAGUUGGUGAGGUAACGGCUCACCAAGGCGACGACGGGUAGCCGGCCUGAGAGGGCGACCGGCCACACUGGGACUGAGACACGGCCCAGACUCCUACGGGAGGCAGCAGUGGGGAAUAUUGCACAAUGGGCGAAAGCCUGAUGCAGCGACGCCGCGUGAGGGAUGACGGCCUUCGGGUUGUAAACCUCUUUCAGCAGGGAAGAAGCGAAAGUGACGGUACCUGCAGAAGAAGCGCCGGCUAACUACGUGCCAGCAGCCGCGGUAAUACGUAGGGCGCAAGCGUUGUCCGGAAUUAUUGGGCGUAAAGAGCUCGUAGGCGGCUUGUCACGUCGGUUGUGAAAGCCCGGGGCUUAACCCCGGGUCUGCAGUCGAUACGGGCAGGCUAGAGUUCGGUAGGGGAGAUCGGAAUUCCUGGUGUAGCGGUGAAAUGCGCAGAUAUCAGGAGGAACACCGGUGGCGAAGGCGGAUCUCUGGGCCGAUACUGACGCUGAGGAGCGAAAGCGUGGGGAGCGAACAGGAUUAGAUACCCUGGUAGUCCACGCCGUAAACGGUGGGCACUAGGUGUGGGCAACAUUCCACGUUGUCCGUGCCGCAGCUAACGCAUUAAGU